UGAGGAAUUUUGGACAAUGGGGGCAACCCUGAUCCAGCGACGCCGCGUGAAGGAUGAAGGUCUUCGGAUUGUAAACUUCUUUUAUCUGGGAAUAAGAAACUUAUGGAAACAUAGGGAGUGAAUGUACCAGGUGAAUAAGCAACGGCUAACUUCGUGCCAGCAGCCGCGGUAAUACGAAGGUUGCAAGCGUUACUCGGAAUUACUAGGCGUAAAGGGCAGGUAGGUGGUUUGGUAAGUCUGUCGUGAAAGCUCCUGGCUUAACUGGGAGAGGUCGAUAGAUACUGCCGGACUUGAGUAUAGGAGAGGUUACUGGAAUUCCCGGUGUAGCGGUGAAAUGCGCAGAGAUCGGGAGGAACACCAAUGGCGAAAGCAGGUAACUGGACUAUUACUGACGCUGAGACGCGAAAGCGUGGGGAGCAAA
rnacentral:rRNA from 1 species